rnacentral:rRNA from 1 species
UACAGAGGUCCCAAGCGUUGUUCGGAUUUACUGGGCGUAAAGGGCGCGUAGGCGGCCACCGCAAGUCGAUUGUGAAAUCUCCGGGCUUAACUCGGAAAGGUCAACCGAUACUGCGGGGCUAGAGUGCAGAAGGGGCAACUGGAAUUCUCGGUGUAGCGGUGAAAUGCGUAGAUAUCGAGAGGAACACCUGCGGCGAAGGCGGGUUGCUGGGCUGACACUGACGCUGAUGUGCGAAAGCUAGGGGAGCGAACGGG